GUUUCACUACGGCGUUGGUGACUGCCAACAAUGUUUCUUGAUCUAUGCUGAUUCGACUUGGGAACUGAGCAGUUCUGCGGUGGCAGUAAACCGGGCUUGCACUCGGAAACUAUAAAUCGCAGCCACGGUUCCCCCCUGGUUUUACCAGGUCAAAAACUGAGGUAAAACGGCGUCGCGGUGAAAUU
rnacentral:other from 1 species